rnacentral:rRNA from 1 species
GAUGAACGCUGGCGGCGUGCCUAAUACAUGCAAGUCGAGCGAACAGACGAUGAGCUUCCUCCUCUGCCUUUUGCGCCGGCCGGGUUUUUACCCCUUGUUUAACCUACCUUUAUUUCUGGUAUACCUUCGGGAAACCGUCCCUAUUCCCGGUUAAUAUAUUGACCCGCUUGUUUCAUUAGUUAAAUCCGUUUUUCCUUUCUCUUUUAGAUGGUUCCGCGCCGCAUUAUCUAGUUGGUAAGGUAACGGCUUACCAAGGCAACGAUGCGUAGCCGACGUGAGAGGGUGAUCGGCCACACUGGAACGGAGACACGGACCAGAGUACUACGGGAGGCAGCAGUAGGGAAUAUUACGCAAUGGGCGAAAGCCUGACGGAGCAACGCGGCGUGAGUGAUGAAGGUCUUAGGAGCGUAAAACUAUGUUAUUAGGGAAGAACAAAUGUGUAAGUAACUAUGCACGUAUUGACGGUAACUAAUCAGAAAGCAACGGCUAACUACGUG